rnacentral:lncRNA from 1 species
UCCCAGAGGUUCAGGAGGCUGAGGAAGGAGGAUUGUGAGUUGGAAGCUAGCCUCAGCAAUUUAGUAAGGCCUUAAGCAAUUUAGCAAGACAUGGUCUCUAAAUAUAAAAGGGCUGGGGAUGUGGCUCAGUGGUUAAAUGCCCAGGGUUCAAUCGCCAGUGUGCUCCGCCCCCCACAAAAGAAUAUUACUGAAGAGUUGAAAUCAUGACUGACACUAAAUUCAACACUUGUUAAAAAUUUAAUUCAACUGGAAUGGAACAGUAAGAUCAGUAAAACUGAUGCAAGAAACAUUGGGAGGAAUUGAAGUUUAUUUUUUAUUUUUUUGAUACUGGGGAUUGAACUCAGGAGCACUCGACCACUGAGCUGCAUUCCUAGCCCUAUUUUGUAUUUUAUUUGGAGACAGGGUCUCACUGAGUUGCUUAGUGCCUCACUGUUGCUGAAGCUGGCUUUGAACUCUUGAUCCUCCUGCCUCAGCCUCCCGAGCCACUAGGAUUACGGGUGUGCCCCACCGUGCCCAGCUGGAGGAACUGAAAUUUAUAUGGUCCUUUUUAAAAAGCUAGAAUGAAAUUAAUAAAUUCAAUUUAGAAAAACAACCUCCAUAAAUCUGACUCAUGCCUGUUGCAGCAAUCUAGAGUAAACUCUGGCAUUAUCUUGUGUUAUCUUUUGUUAUCAGACACAAAUCCACAAGUUAACCUGUAACUUUACCAAGCCUCCUCUCUUAAUUAAAAGUAAAUAAUUCUGGGCCCAGUGGCGCACACAUCUGUAAUCCCAGUAGCUCGGGAGUUCAAACCCAGCCUCAGCAAUUUAGUGAGGCCCUAUGCAACUCAGUGAGACCCAGUCUCUAAAUAAAACACAAAAAGGACUGGAGAUGUGAUUCAGGGGUUCAGCACCCCUGGGUUCAAUCCCUAGUACCCCCCCCCCAAAAAAAAAAGUAAAUAGCAAACCAGGCACAGUGGCACUUGCCUGUAAUCCCAGUGGCUGGGGAGGCUGAGGCAGGAGGAUCAUGAGUUCAAACCCAACCUCAGCAAAAAUCAGGCACUAAGCAACUCAGUGAGGCCCUGUCUCCAAAUAAAAUACAAAAUAGGGUUGGGGAUGUGGCUCAUUUGUCAAGUGCCCUUGAGUUCAAUCCCUGGUACCCCACCACACACACACACACACCCACCAAGGAAAUAGCAGCCAGGCACCAUGGUACGUGUUUAAAUCCCAGCCUCUGAGGACACAGGAGUUCAAAGCCAGACACAGCAAGUUAGCAAGGCCCUAAGCAACUUAGUGAGACCCUGUCUCUAUGUCUCUAAAUAAAAUACUUUUUAAGAAAGGGCUAGGGAUGUGGCUCAGUGGUUAAGCACACCAGGGUUCAAUCCCGGAAGGAAGGAAGGAAGGAAGGGAUGGUCCUCCCCUUUCUUGCCUCAGCCUCCUGAGCCAAAGGGCUUGGGCCAGAUCAGAUCUUCCAGCUGGUUCAAUAGAUGAGACUGAUUUUUUUAAUCUCCAAAAUAUACACCAAAGAUUUCAUCCUCCCCUCCCCCACAGCUACCCCACUCCCGC